CUAAAGCUGUGGAGAUGCUGGGAUACAUUGCACCACCUUCCUUUUACACAAAUCUGCUUGAAGUCAGGUUACUGCUAGAGAUGUGUGUGUCAAGCCUGGAUGAUCUCGAUCCCCAGUAUUUCUGUGCUGCAGUUCCCUGUAGUGCAGGGGGUUCUUUUUUAUGGGUUGCUGUUGCUUUUGAGGCUUGCUGUUGUGCAAGUUCUUCAAGGAAAUCUGGAAGUCUCAGCAGUUAAUGUGGAAUCUUCAAAAGACUUAUUAGAUCUUGUUUAAAUGAAAGAAUUUCUGGUUCUGUAUUUAUUGAACAUGUGCAUGGGUUAGAAAUCUUAUUAUUUUAGUCCAGUCUACAUUGAGUGCUACCUCUUGUCUUUAGUUUUGAUUUUAGAAGGCUGUGUUGUUUUGAAAUGUCAAGCUAAUAAACUCUUCUCAGAGAGAGGCACUUCUUUUCUGUUUUUCAUGGUUUGGAAGAGGAAGCCUUGAAACUGUGGCAGCCGGUCUGUUUUUAAUCAUGGACCAUGUCUACAAUGUGACAUUUAUUCAUAAGUAAAGGAACAGUAUUCAUGUAAAUGCUAGAGAUAAAGAAUUAUUUUUCUUUUAAUUGAGGAAAGAGGUAGGACAAAAAUCACAGGUAUAAUUUUCCUGAGUGUUCUAAGUCCCCUCUUGUCCCUUACUACAUCAUCCGUGAGGAGAGGAGUGCUUGCUGCAGUUUGGGGACUGCUAGACUGGUGGAAGGUGGUAAUUACUGACAAUGACAAAUAACCUUUGUGUGGCUUUCUCACAUAUUAGUUGAUUGUUUCUUUGGUUUAAAUUUUGAGCUUUUCAUGUAAUUUUGCUCUUUUGAAGUGGUUUUAUUGGUUACAAGUCAUUGUAAUACGACUAGUUCAUAUACAUGUUGCUCUUCUUAAGCUUCCAACUGCUGCAGUGUGCUAAGCAUUCAUAACUUCAGAACACAGCUGCUCUUUUCUGGCCUCUGGAAGCUGACUUCAGAUGUUUGGAUGGACUUUACAAUCUUGAUUAAGUUCAACAAGCAGCAAAGGUGCUGUGUGUGGUUUAGUCACAGAACAAGCUGAAUCUACAGGCAUCUGUAUGGAUUUAAUGGGCUGAGUUGCUGUUCAGUGUGUUUUGAUUCAGUUGACUAACUAGUCAGCUAGUUGUUGAUGUUUGCUGAAUCCUUCCUUGGACUUUCCAAGUGGAGACGUUUUCCUGGAAUGCUCGUCUGCUCUAAGUGCGUGAGGGGAAGUAUUCUAAAUCCACUGGAAUUUCCCCUGGGUUUCCAGCAUCCAUCUUGGCUAAUUGGGUCUGAAGAAGGUCUGGAAGCUAUUGUAGGGCUGCUCCUCCUCUCAGCGUGCGGCAGUCCUUGCACAAGAUGUUUACAGGCCCUGUCAGAUCACUACAUGAAGGAAUCUAAUCUGCUUGCCGUUCCCCUUCUGAAGAGCAGCACAUCAAAGAGAGGACAGUAUGUUUGAUGUGUGUGCUUGCCUCGGUGGGUGCAUGUAAUGGAUUAGCAGCAGCUGGAGGAGGAGCCUGCUGCUUCCAAGAGUUAGACAAAAAUAAGUCUCUGGGGAUCUUUGUGUGGAGUCUGUGCUGCAGAGGCUGGUUGAGGGCACAGUGUUGUCUGCCCUAUGAGCAAGAAGCCUGUGUUUCUAUCUCCCACUCUUGCCUGCUUGCAGCUUCAGCAGCUUUAUGGGCUGUUCUCCAUAGAGCAGUUGCAAUUCAGAGACUCAGAGACAUCUUUGAUGGUCAUUAUGAUUCCUCACUGCUUCUUCACUUCACUGCUUCACUGCUGCUUCUUCUAUAUUGGUCAUUCAUUUGGUUCACAUAUUUUCCACACAUUUUUAGAAGACUCUUCAGAGAGUUGCUUGGAUUGAAGUGGAAAGCAGUUUUUGGAAAAGUGAAUGAAACUAGGUUCUCUAAGUCAAACUGGCUUCCUCUCUACUGGUCUUUGGUGAGGACAUGUUCCACUCUACCUAAGACUUUUUUCUCUUAAAUGGUUGUCAUCCACCUUUUCUGACAGACAGCAGCUUGAGGUUCAAGCUUGUAUUCUGUGGCCUGUUCUGUCUGCCUUUUCUGUGCUUCUGCACUGUUUCUCUGUGUCUCAUCAGUCCUUUAUCUUUUGUGCACUGUUAUUGAGGAUUUGUCAAGGGAUACAGGUAAUCUUAAUUGGAAGCAAAACCUAUUGAAAAUAGGGUGGGGAUGAGUAUCUUUUCUGGAUUGUCUGGAGAAGUCUGAGUGCAGUAUCCUGCUAUGGUGUGCUGAAGGCACUCUCUGGUGAUCUUCUGUUCCAAUUCUCCAAUUGAGACAAGAUUUUUUUUUCCGUGCCUUUCAUCAUCAGGCAUUGGCUUUGGGAAUUUCCUCAGGUACUGCUGCCAGAGGAGUGAGGGAGGUUGGAGCCUGGGUCUUAUAUCACAAGACAGUGUUCUUUUGUAUGAGCAGCAUAGUCUCUUGAUUCCUGCAGAGCAUUGUAUAGUGUGUUUUAUUCCUGAAAGAGAAUAAUUAAUUGCAGAAUCACAAAUGGAGGCAAACCUAUUGUAGUGUUGGUUUGGUUGUUCACCUUGAAGUUAACUGUGUUUCAUAAUCUGAAACUUGUAUAUCAUAUUUUGGAUGCUCUGGUGUGUCUGUUGCUUUCUGCACAAUGGGAUUUGUUGUGCUGGCUGGGAAAUGUUCUGAAUAGUGGUCUUACAGUCUUGGUAUUAUCAUUCCCUGGAAUAUUUUGCAACUGGUCUGGAAGCAGUUCUCAGCUGCUGACUUUCCUAAAAUAGACCUGACCCUCAGGACUGGUUUUAUAGUUUGCUCUAUUUGGAUUUGCUCUACCUCUGGGUUUCAUUGUGACGUGCCUUGUCCCAUACCACUGUGCUGUUGCAAGCUUUUAACCAUUUGAUCAAGAUGGCAUAUGGACUGCUACAAUUAAACCAGACAUCUCAGUUGUGGUUUGUGCUUAACAGAUUUAGUCCCUCAAAUCCUUCAACUGGAAACCAUUGAUGUUCUCUGGCUCUUGAGAAUUACUCAAAGAUUGAGUAUCAUAAUUUUCCAAUGGCACUCUCGAUCCUGAGUGGCUUCUGGUUUCACUUAUAUGUCAAUGUAGCUGAGUUUUGAUUCUCAGUUUAAAUGUCCUUGAUGAAAUUUCAUGGAAUUUAAUGGCUAUUUCCCUUAAUUUUCCAUUUCAUAGGCUGGUUGACUCCCUCUCAGUUCAGUUUCUUUUGUCACUUCAUGCUGGGCUAAGUUUGGUUAUGCAGACUCCAGUCUUCUGCUGCGCAAGAAAGGUUGUUAAAGUGAAAAAGGCAUAAAAUGGCAGGCUGACCUUGGGAAUUGCCUCCAGAGGUCUCAGGAGGUGAGCAAGGAUGUGUCAUGUUCCUGGGCUGCCAGGUGGAUUUCCUUAUCUGCUUUGCAGAGAGGUGGUUUCUCUUCAAGUCACAGGUGAUGGGUGGUGAUUUCCUGGUGGGGUGAGUGGAAAGCCAUUCCCUCCACCUACCCCCCAGACUGGACUGUAGAGAGCAGUAAGAUCAAGGGAGUUUACCAUGAGGAGGAGCUACAGCUGUUCUGUGUUUCGUGAUAAACCAUCUGUUGCAGUGCAGAUGGGAUAUACAGCUCUUUACCAUGGGAUAUCCUGGUGCAACUGCAGGCACAGGGAGUUUGAGACAGAAUGUGCUCAGAAGAGCUGCUGAGGUCUUUGGAGAAGUAUAAAUCUUGUCAGUUCUCAUUGUAUAGAUGGGGAAUACUGUGGGCAAUGUUCUUACCUCUUGUAGUUUCCCAGGCUGAGUUAGGCUGAAAUGUCUGAAUCUGAAACUUCUGAAAAAAUGCUUUUGAGAAUUCAGACAGGUAUAUCUUUCCAAACCAGCACUGUCUUAGAGUGGACAGUGUUUUUCUGGUCACCUCUUAGAUUGGCAUGCUUGGGAUGAGAAGCAGAGUAUUCUCCUCAGUCUCACGUUUUACCACAUUCUCAUCUGAUUUUAGUUUGAGUUGCACUUUCCUGAAGGUGGAAACCAACGUGACAGAGCUUCCUCUGAUGUUGAAUCUAAUGCUCUCACUGACUCCAGUGCUUCAGCAUAAUGUACUGGUUAAUUCUGUAAGGCUUUUUACUUUUCUGUAGGGAUCUGAGGUUUUCUUGGUGAAAGUGUCAAUCCUUUUUUUCCCCCUUUUGAAAUCACAUCAUCUUGGGUGGAUGAGAACUGGGAAUUGCUGUGGUAGGCUGUGAUUGUCCUUUACCUGUCUGUCUUUUGUAUUUGAUCAAAUGAACAUAUAAUAAAGCUUCUCUUUUACUGGAA